rnacentral:rRNA from 1 species
AUUGAACGCUGGCGGCAGGCCUAACACAUGCAAGUCGAGCGAGCGGCGGACGGGUGAGUAAUGUAUGGGGACUGCGCGAUAGAGGGGGAUAACUACUGGAAACGGUGGCUAAUACCGCAUACUAUCGCAUAACCCAGAUGGGAUUAGCUAGUAGGUGGGGUAAAGGCGCACCUAGGCGACGAACGCUUGCUGGUCUGAGAGGAUGAUCAGUCACACUGGGACUGAGACACGGCCCAGACUCCUACGGGGGCAGCAGAGGGGAAUAUUGGACAAUGGGCGAAAGCCUGAUGCAGCCAUGCCGAGUGUAUGAAGAAGGCCUUAGGGUUGUAAACCUCUUUCGCUAUCGAACGGGUAGGUGGAGAAGAAGCGCCGGCUAACUACGUGCCAGCAGCCGCGGUAAUUC